GGGGGGGGGGGGGGGGGGGGGGGGGGGGGGGGGGGGGGGGGGGCGGGGGGGGAGCGGGGUGGGCUGGUGUUAGCGGCGGACGGGUGAGUAACACGUGGAUAACCUACCUAUAAGACUGGGAUACCUUCGGGAAACCGGCGCUAGUACCGGAUACUAUUUUGACCCGCAUGGUUCAAAAGUGAACGACGGUCUUGCUGUCCCUUCUAGAUGGAUCCGCGCUGCAUUAGCUAGUUGGUAAGGUAACGGCUUACCAAGGCAACGAUGCAUAGCCGACCUGAGAGGGUGAUCGGCCACACUGGAACUGAGACACGGUCCAGACUCCUACGGGAGGCAGCAGUAGGGAAUCUUCCGCAAUGGGCGAAAGCCUGACGGAGCAACGCCGCGUGAGUGAUGAAGGUCUUCGGAUCGUAAAACUCUGUUAUUAGGGAAGAACAUAUGUGUAAGUAACUGUGCACAUCUUGACGGUACCUAAUCAGAAAGCCACGGCUAACUACGUG
rnacentral:rRNA from 1 species